rnacentral:rRNA from 1 species
AUUGAACGCUGGCGGCAUGCCUUACACAUGCAAGUCGAACGGUAACGCGGGGCAACCUGGCGACGAGUGGCGAACGGGUGAGCAAUACAUCGGAACGUGCCCAGUAGUGUGGGAUAGCCCGGCGAAAGCCGGAUUAAUACCGCAUACGACCUAAGGGUGAAAGGGGGGGAUCGCAAGACCUCCCGCUAUUGGAGCGGCCGAUGUCAGAUUAGGUAGUUGGUGGGGUAAAGGCCCACCAAGCCAACGAUCUGUAGCUGGUCUGAGAGGACGAUCAGCCACACUGGGACUGAGACACGGCCCAGACCCCUACGGGAGGCAGCAGUGGGGAAUUUUGGACAAUGGGGGAAACCCUGAUCCAGCCAUGCCGCGUGCGGGAAGAAGGCCUUCGGGUUGUAAACCGCUUUUGUCAGGGAAGAAAAGCUCUAGGAUAAUACCUUGGAGUAAUGACGGUACCUGAAGAAUAAGCACCGGCUAACUACGUGCCAGCAGCCGCCGUAA